GCUUAAUUGCCUGCAGCUGGGGGCAGUGCCGGAUCCUUCUGUACAAGGGUUAUUGCCUGAGUAGGGGAGUGGUUUGAUCGAUGUCUGAUGCUGCUUGGUUUUAGUUUUCUAUCUCUUUGCUUCAGUAGUUUUAUACAUAUAUACAUAUAUCUAUGUAGUCUUUAAGAGAGUUGGUUAGUUUACGUACUAGAGGACGAUAGACUUCUAUCCAGCUAUUGGAGAGAGGAGAGCACAGAUUUCCUUACUUGCGUUGCUAGCUUCCAGCUGGCCUUAGAUCUUUUCAUGAGUCUGUCCACAAGAGCAACAAGCCUUUUUCAGCUGCCUGUGUGAUAUGAUAGUACAAUGUCAUGAUCUUGCCCAGGAUGACUUUACAACAAAGGAAUUCUUUAUAAAUGCUUCAGAGUGCCUAACAUACUCAGCCUUCCGCUGGAGCCUCUGAAAAGUUUUGUAAUGUAGGUGGUGUGCAGGAACGGUUAUAUGAUAUUACUGAUGAGAUUUAUCAGAUUAUUACUUGCCUUGGAAAGAAGAGGAAGAUUGCUGUGUGGAGUGAUGCUGCAAGGGUAGUUUUCUGUCCAGUGUGCACGUGCUCAUCGGCUUUCUUCUCAGCUCUGAAAUGCUGCCAAGAGCAGCCAGCAAGGAGACAGAGUACCCUGACCUUGGAAAAAGGCUCUAAUCUGGUGUCUUUAUAGAGAUGAGGAAGCAGCUUUGACAAGUAGAAGUUAAGCCCUAGAUGGUCCCAGACUAUCUAGC
rnacentral:lncRNA from 1 species